ACAAAAUGUAACUUAACAAAAGUAUCUUGCUUACACCAAGAACAUGUCUGUAAAAACCAAACCAUUUUGA
rnacentral:tRNA from 1 species